rnacentral:rRNA from 1 species
GACGAACGCUGGCGGCGUGCUUAACACAUGCAAGUCGAGCGGUAAGGCCCUUCGGGGUACACGAGCGGCGAACGGGUGAGUAACACGUGGGCAACCUCGCCCCCGGCUCCGGGACUAACUCCAAGAAGUUGGGGCUAAUACCGGAUAUUCACUGCUGGCCGCAUGGUUGGUGGUAGGAAAGAUUUAUCGGCUGGGGGAUGGGCCCGCGGGCCUAU